UACAGAGGUCUCAAGCGUUUGUUCGGAUUCAUUGGGCGUAAAGGGCGCGUAGGCUGCGGGGCAAGUCGGGUGUGAAAUCUCAGAGCUCAACUCUGAAACUGCACUCGAUACUGCUUUGCUCGAGGACUGGAGAGGAGAUUGGAAUUCACGGUGUAGCAGUGAAAUGCGUAGAUAUCAAGUGGAACACCAGUGGCGAAGGCGAGUCCCUGGACAACUCCUGACACUGAGGCACGAAAGCUAGGGGAGCAAACAGG
rnacentral:rRNA from 1 species